rnacentral:rRNA from 1 species
UACGUAGGGUGCGAGCGUUGUCCGGAAUUAUUGGGCGUAAAGGGCUCGUAGGCGGUUUGUCGCGUCGGGAGUGAAAACCUCGGGCUUAACUCGGGGCUUGCUUUCGAUACGGGCAGACUGGAGGUAUGCAGGGGAGAACGGAAUUCCUGGUGUAGCGGUGAAAUGCGCAGAUAUCAGGAGGAACACCGAUGGCGAAGGCAGGUCUCUGGGCCACUACUGACGCUGAGAAGCGAAAGCAUGGGGAGCGAACAGG